rnacentral:rRNA from 1 species
CCAGACUCCUACGGGAGGCAGCAGUUAGGAAUAUUCGUCAAUGGAGGAAACUCUGAACGAGCAAUGCCGCGUGAAGGAUGACGGUCCUUUGGAUUGUAAACUUCUGUUGUUAGGAACGAACCGCCUAAGUAGGAAAUGACUUAGGUCUGACGGUACCUUUCAAGAAAGCUCCGGCUAACUACGUGCCAGCAGCCGCGGUAAUACGUAGGGAGCGAGCGUUAUCCGGAUUUAUUGGGUGUAAAGCGUGUGUAGACGGUUUCUUAAGUCUAUAGUCUAAGCCUGGAGCUUAACUCCAGUUCGCUAUGGAAACUGAGAGACUUGAGUAUGGGAGAGGCAAGUGGAAUUUCUAGUGUAGCGGUGGAAUGCGUAGAUAUUAGAAGGAACACCAGUGGCGAAGGCGACUUGCUGGGCCAUCACUGACGUUGAGACACGAAAGCGUGGGGAGCGAAUAGGAUUAGAUACCCCUGUA